rnacentral:rRNA from 1 species
GAAGCUUGCUUCUCUGAUGUUAGCGGCGGGGGGGUGACGUAACACGUGGAUAACCUACCUAUAAGACUGGGAUAACUUCGGGAAACCGGAGCUAAUACCGGAUAAUAUUUUGAACCGCAUGGUUCAAAAGUGAAAGACGGUCUUGCUGUCACUUAUAGAUGGAUCCGCGCUGCAUUAGCUAGUUGGUAGGGUAACGGCUUACCAAGGCAACGAUGCAUAGCCGACCUGAGAGGGUGAUCGGCCACACUGGAACUGAGACACGGUCCAGACUCCUACGGGAGGCAGCAGUAGGGAAUCUUCCGCAAUGGGCGAAAGCCUGACGGAGCAACGCCGCGUGAGUGAUGAAGGUCUUCGGAUCGUAAAACUCUGUUAUUAGGGAAGAACAUAUGUGUAAGUAACUGUGCACAUCUUGACGGUACCUAAUCAGAAAGCCACGGCUAACUACGUGCCAGCAGCCGCGGUAAUACGUAGGUGGCAAGCGUUAUCCGGAAUUAUUGGGCGUAAAGCGCGCGUAGGCGGUUUUUUAAGUCUGAUGUGAAAGCCCACGGCUCAACCGUGGAGGGUCAUUGGAAACUGGAAAACUUGAGUGCAGAAGAGGAACACGUGGAAUUCCAUGUGUAGCGGUGAAAUGCGCAGAGAUAUGGAGGAACACCAGUGGCGAAGGCGACUUUCUGGUCUGUAACUGACGCUGAUGUGUGAAAGCGUGGGGAUCAAACAGGAUUAGAUACCCUGGUAGUCCACGCCGUAAACGAUGAGUCCUCCCAGUGUUAGGGGGUUUCCGCCCCUUAGUGCUGCAGCUAACGCAUUAAGCACUCCGCCUGGGGAG